GUGGGGAAUUUUGGACAAUGGGGGCAACCCUGAUCCAGCCAUGCCGCGUGAGUGAAGAAGGCCUUCGGGUUGUAAAGCUCUUUCGGCCGGGAAGAAAUCGCAUAGGCUAAUACCCUGUGUGGAUGACGGUACCGGAAUAAGAAGCACCGGCUAACUACGUGCCAGCAGCCGCGGUAAUACGUAGGGUGCGAGCGUUAAUCGGAAUUACUGGGCGUAAAGCGUGCGCAGGCGGUUUAGUAAGACAGGCGUGAAAUCCCCGGGCUCAACCUGGGAACUGCGCUUGUGACUGCUAAGCUAGAGUACGGCAGAGGGGGGUGGAAUUCCACGUGUAGCAGUGAAAUGCGUAGAGAUGUGGAGGAACACCGAUGGCGAAGGCAGCCCCCUGGGCCGAUACUGACGCUCAUGCACGAAAGCGUGGGUAGCAAACAGGAUUAGAAACCCCAGUAGUCC
rnacentral:rRNA from 1 species